ACCCAAAAGAUCGAAAGGAGAGAUUCAUUGUUGGCGUAUUUGGUAUAUGGGCAAAUUGCGAUACGUUUGAUCUCCGCAAGGAUGAUACAGCUGUACGUGUUUGCAUCAUUUUAAUGCUAAAUAUCGUAGGCGUGCACUUCUCUCCAAGUAGGACGUCGCGACCCGUUGGGUGUUGAUCUACGACUCAAAUGGUAGCCUUUAAUAUCAUAGCAAUAUGUUAUAUUGAAGACCUUUGGUGUUAUCUGAUUAACUGCCCAGCGGUAUGAAAAUGGUAUUGUGUCGCUAAUAUGCGUCAAGACUGAACACAAGCCCGAUCAAUGUUUGAUCAGUACGGACUUAGUGCCGUCGGUCUACUUGGUCAGCUGUUAGUUGUACAGUGACUUUGACAGACACAAAUUGAAUAUAUCGAUACCGGUCAGCGAUGCUACUGCUUUGGGUACUUUCAGGACCCGUCUUGAAACACGGACCAAGGAGUCUAACAUGUACGCGAGUCAUUGGGUUGUAUUUUUUUUAUUUAAACCUAAAGGCGUAAUGAAAGUAAAAGUUGACCUUGUGUUAACUAAGGGAAGAUAAGUUAUAUUUUUAUGUAACUUCGCACUCCUGGGGCGUCUCAUUCUUAUUAUAAGACGAGGCG
rnacentral:rRNA from 1 species